GACGGAGGGCGCAAGCGUUGUUCGGAAUUACUGGGCGUAAAGCGCGCGCAGGCGGGAAGAUAAGUCUGGAGUGAAAUUCCGGGGCUCAACUCCGGAGCUGCUUUGGAUACUGUUUUUCUAGGGACCGGUAGAGGCCGGUGGAAUUCCCGGUGUAGCGGUGGAAUGCGUAGAGAUCGGGAAGAACACCCGUGGCGAAGGCGGCCGGCUGGGCCGGAUCCGACGCUGAGGCGCCGAAAGCGUGGGGAGCAAACAGG
rnacentral:rRNA from 1 species